UCUCAUCCAAUCACCAAAGUUAAGCAAAGUUGAGCCUGGUCAGUACCUAGAUGGGUAACCGCUUGAGAAUACCAGGUACUGUUA